CAGGAAGCAGGUGGGUCCAUGCCUGACACCAGGGACCCUGACUCCACUCACCGCAGAGCUUCAGGACAGAAAGAAGAUAAUUUUUUGCACACCUUCAACUGUCCCAGGUGGACCAAUGGACAUUGUUAAGGAUGCUGAUUUACAAGUGGAAUGAAUCCCAAGGGAGGCUUAUCAGUGGACAAGGUACCUAAGACGUGGAGAUGCACUGAAAAGAAAAUAAUUCAGAUGCCCAGGAUGAGUCCAGAGUAUAUGAUAAUGAAGAACAUUUGCUUGGCUGUGAACACCACCAGAAGGUAACUGUUUGUCAUAAAAUAAACAGGAUCUUCUCUGUCA
rnacentral:lncRNA from 1 species